CUGAAUUCGUGCUCAAUGAGUCUCAUGGUUCCGUGAUGGUGCUGAAUCCAGACGGGAAAGCAGAAAGCUGUGCAUGGGAGGCAGCUUUGGCAUUUCACAUACCAUGGACAGAGAAUACAUGGAGGGAGUCACGAGGGCGAGUUUGUCUGCAUUGCCCAGCAAUGAACCAAGUAGAAAAGAACAUGCAAAGAGUCGAGGAAGAAGGAGAGAUUGUAACGGUGAAGGAGCACUGAGAACUUGAAAGGACUGAAACAGGGAAGAGCUACAUCGUCAUCAAGGCAGGGAUGAAGUGGACUGUUGCCUUGUUUUAGCUGAGCCAAUUCAUUACAAGUGACAUCAAGAACACUUUCCCCUGUCACUCUUGCAACUCAGCAGCCAACAUGAGAGACAU
rnacentral:lncRNA from 1 species